GAACAUGGACGAGGCGCAGGAGAAACAGAAGGAGAGCUACCGGAGCAGAAUCAAGAAACGGGACCAAGUGCUAUGACGUCUGGGCAAACGACUUGGUUUGGAAGAAGGACGAAAGGAAGGCGAGACCUGGGGAAAAACUCGCUGCUCUUUCGCUCCUAGCUGGGGUCACCAUCUGUUAAAGUGAAUAUUUAAAAUCUAAACUAUUUGCAUACAAAAUAACCUGAAGCUACUUUUAGUUUUUUUCGGACUUCCUAGGGUUACCUCGGUGGAAGCCAACAAUCAGUCGGCCGCUGAAAGCCCUGACGCCCUACACUUCAGGGAAGCUCGAUAGACAAAGACCAUCGACUGGCCGAGCCCCCCGGGAGGUAUCCCAUCCACCAGAACCAAGAGCAGCAGUGCCUGGACUUUGCAGUCCCC